UACGGGGGGAGCAAGCGUUGUUCGGAUUUACUGGGCGUAAAGGGCGCGUAGGCGGCGCAACAAGUCACUUGUGAAAUCUCCGGGCUUAACCCGGAGCGGCCAAGUGAUACUGUCGUGCUAGAGUGCGGAAGGGGCUACUGGAAUUCCCGGUGUAGCGGUGAAAUGCGCAGAUAUCGGGAGGAACACCGGUGGCGAAGGCGGUUCUCUGGGCCUUACCUGACGCUGAGGAGCGAAAGCGUGGGGGGCGAACAGG
rnacentral:rRNA from 1 species